AGUGGGGAUGAGAGAAACGGCCAAAGGAUCCCUAGUAGCGGCGAGCGAAGCGGGAAGAGCUCAAAUUUAUAAUCUGGCACCUUCGGUGUCCGAGUUGUAAUCUCUAGAAAUGUUUUCCGCGUUGGACCGCACACAAGUCUGUUGGAAUACAGCGGCAUAGUGGUGAGACCCCCGUAUAUGGUGCGGACGCCCAGCGCUUUGUGAUACAUUUUCGAAGAGUCGAGUUGUUUGGGAAUGCAGCUCAAAUUGGGUGGUAAAUUCCAUCUAAAGCUAAAUAUUGGCGAGAGACCGAUAGCGAACAAGUACCGUGAGGGAAAGAUGAAAAGCACUUUGGAAAGAGAGUUAACAGUACGUGAAAUUGUUGGAAGGGAAACGCUUGAAGUCAGACUUGCUUGCCGAGCAAUCGGUUUGCAGGCCAGCAUCAGUUUUCCGGGAUGGAUAAUGGUAGAGAGAAGGUAGCAGUUUCGGCUGUGUUAUAGCUCUCUGCUGGAUACAUCUUGGGGGACUGAGGAACGCAGUGUGCCUUUGGCGGGGGUUUCGACCUCUUCACACUUAGGAUGCUGGUGGAAUGGCUUUAAACGACCCGUCUUGAAACCACGGGACCAA
rnacentral:rRNA from 1 species